GACGAACGCUGGCGGCGUGCUUAACACAUGCAAGUCGAACGGUAAGGCCCUUCGGGGUACACGAGUGGCGAACGGGUGAGUAACACGUGGGUGAUCUGCCCUGCACUUCGGGAUAAGCCUGGGAAACUGGGUAUAAUACCGGAUAGGACCCUGGGAUGCAUGUCCUGGGGUGGAAAGCUUUUGCGGUGUGGGAUGGGCCCGCGGCCUGUCAGCUUGUUGGUGGGGUGAUGGCCUACCAAGGCGACGACGGGUAGCCGGCCUGAGAGGGCUGACCGGCCACACUGGGACUGAGAUACGGCCCAGACUCCUACGGGAGGCAGCAGUGGGGAAUAUUGCACAAUGGGCGCAAGCCUGAUGCAGCGACGCCGCGUGAGGGAUGACGGCCUUCGGGUUGUAAACCUCUUUCAGCACCGACGAAGCGCAAGUGACGGUAGGUGCAGAAGAAGGACCGGCCAACUACGUGCCAGCCGCCGCCGUAA
rnacentral:rRNA from 1 species